rnacentral:rRNA from 1 species
GCAAGUCGAACGGUAACAGGUCUUCGGAUGCUGACGAGUGGCGAACGGGUGAGUAAUACAUCGGAACGUGCCUAGUAGUGGGGGAUAACUACUCGAAAGAGUAGCUAAUACCGCAUGAGAUCUACGGAUGAAAGCAGGGGACCUUCGGGCCUUGUGCUACUAGAGCGGCUGAUGGCAGAUUAGGUAGUUGGUGGGGUAAAGGCUUACCAAGCCUGCGAUCUGUAGCUGGUCUGAGAGGACGACCAGCCACACUGGGACUGAGACACGGCCCAGACUCCUACGGGAGGCAGCAGUGGGGAAUUUUGGACAAUGGGCGAAAGCCUGAUCCAGCAAUGCCGCGUGCAGGAUGAAGGCCCUCGGGUUGUAAACUGCUUUUGUACGGAACGAAAAGCCUGGGGCUAAUAUCCCCGGGUCAUGACGGUACCGUAAGAAUAAGCACCGGCUAACUACGUGCCAGCAGCCGCGGUAAUACGUAGGGUGCAAGCGUUAAUCGGAAUUACUGGGCGUAAAGCGUGCGCAGGCGGUUUUGUAAGACAGUGGUGAAAUCCCCGGGCUCAACCUGGGAACUGCCAUUGUGACUGCAAGGCUAGAGUGCGGCAGAGGGGGAUGGAAUUCCGCGUGUAGCAGUGAAAUGCGUAGAUA